rnacentral:rRNA from 1 species
UACGUAGGGUGCAAGCGUUACUCGGAAUUAUUGGGCGUAAAGCGCAUGUAGGCGGCUUUAUAAGUCUGAUGUGAAUUCCCUGGACUCAAUUCAGGAACUGCAUUGGAUACUGUAAGGCUAGAGUAGAGGAGAGGUAGGCGGAAUUCCUGGUGUAGAGGUGAAAUUCGUAGAUAUCAGGAGGAACAACAGAGGCGAAGGCGGCUUACUGGACUCUAACUGACGCUGAGAUGCGACAGUGUGGGGAGCAAACAGG